UACGUAGGCAGCGAGCGUUGUUCGGAGUUACUGGGCGUAAAGAGUGCGUAGGCGGUUUUCUAAGUUUGGUGUGAAAUCUCCCGGCUCAACUGGGAGGGGGCGCCGAAGACUGGAAGGCUUGAGUAUGGGAGAGGUAAGCGGAAUUCCUGGUGUAGCGGUGAAAUGCGUAGAUAUCAGGAGGAACACCUGCGGUGUAGACGGCUUACUGGACCAUAACUGACGCUGAGGCACGAAAGCGUGGGUAGCAAACAGG
rnacentral:rRNA from 1 species